CCCUUGCCACCCCUGUUGUCUGUCUGGGACAGUGGGAUCAUUAGGAGGAUCUCGAAAGCCCCUUUGUUCCCACAGUGCAGGACACACACUCCUCCCAGCCAUGCCAGACCUGGCUCUCUUCCACUCAGGUUUCCACAGGAGGCUGGGUCUAUUCCUUGUGUGUUGGCUGCAGGUGGAGGAAGAAAACAGAGAAGUGUGCUCUUGGCUGAGGACAAGAAUCUGCAUGACGUUUUCUUUGACCUUGAGAAUGCCUUUUGCUUGCCCUGAAGAGCAGGAGAGGAGCUGGAACUUUCCCCUUUGGCUCUGUCAGCCAAGUGCAGCUUUCAAAUUCUCUAGGGACCACUGUAUUUUCUCAUGAAUUCCAAACACUAAAACUCCCUGUGUGACAGCUGGAGAAUCACUGCACCUUUCUGGACCCCGUUGAGUGACAGAAGAUUGGAAUGGAUAGUCACAUGCCUGCCCCAGCAUGGAUGAAGAGCCUAUACUUCCAUCCAUUCUUGCCUCUUCCAAGUUCCCCUCAUUUUUCUCUCUAAGAUCAAAUAAAUAGACAUGUUAUUAUUA